UACAGAGGGUGCGAGCGUUAAUCGGAAUUACUGGGCGUAAAGCGCACGUAGGUGGCGACGUAAGUCGGGUGUGAAAGCCCCGGGCUCAACCUGGGAAUUGCACUCGAGACUGCAUUGCUGGAGUACGGAAGAGGAGGGCGGAAUUCCCGGUGUAGCGGUGAAAUGCGUAGAUAUCGGAAGGAACAUCAGUGGCGAAGGCGGCUUACUGGUCCGGUUCUGACGCUGAGGCGCGAAAGCGUGGGGAGCAAACAGG
rnacentral:rRNA from 1 species